AUGCCUCCUAGAAAUGUUAUUGAGGAUUAUGUCUCAGAAUGGUACAUGAAAGAGAAACUCAAGCUUAAACAUGAAUUGGCCACCGUUCCGAAUAUGAUAGUUUUAAAUUUUGAUUUGUGGGAAUCUGCCACUACUUUGGCUGCAAUGUUCCCUCACAGUGGCUCCAAUCAUGUUGGUAAGUAA